rnacentral:rRNA from 1 species
GACGAACGCUGGCGGCGUGCCUAAUACAUGCAAGUCGAACGGAAAGGCCCUGCGCUUGCGCCGUUCUCGAGAGCCGCGCGCGGGAGUAUCACGCGAGUAGACUCUCCCUGUCAUUGGGGUAAAAUCAGGGGAAACGGGCGCUAAUACCGUAUAAGCUCUUGAAGCAUAGGGGGUAAUGGUGAAAGUCGCCGGUUCGGGACGGAAUCGUGGCUUCUCAGCGUGUUGGGGGGGUAGUGGCGUACAAGGGCUGCGAGGGGUAGCCGGCCUGAGAGGGUGACCGGCCACAAUGGGCCUGGGAGAGGGCCCAGACGGCUACGGGGGGCAGCAGUGGGGAAUAGGGCGGAAUAGGCGGAAGCCUGAUGCAGCGACGCCGGGUGCGGAAAAACGGUUUUUGGGUUGGAAACCGCUUUCGCCUGUAACGAAGCGUGAGUGACGGUAACGGGUAAGAAAGCAACGGCUAACUACGUG